rnacentral:misc_RNA from 1 species
CGCGAGCAGCUCCUCGGGCGG